GACGAACGCUGGCGGCGUGCUUAACACAUGCAAGUCGAACGGUUGUAGCAAUACAGCAGUGGCAGACGGGUGAGUAACACGUGGGAACCUUCCUAGGGGUACGGAACAACUCAGGGGAACUUGAGCUAAUACCGUAUACGUCCGUGAGGAGAAAGAUUUAUCGCCCUUAGACGGGCCCGCGUCGGAUUAGCUAGUUGGUGGGGUAACGGCCUACCAAGGCGACGAUCCGUAGCUGAUCUUAGAGGAUGAUCAGCCACACUGGGACUGAGACACGACCCAGACUCCUACGGGAGGCAGCAGUGGGGAAUCUUGGACAAUGGGCGCAAGCCUGAUCCAGCCAUGCCGCGUGAGUGAAGAAGGUCUUCGGAUUGUAAAGCUCUUUUGCCAGGGACGAUAAUGACGGUACCUGGAGAAUAAGCCCCGGCAAACUUCGUGCCAGCCGCCGCGGUAA
rnacentral:rRNA from 1 species